rnacentral:rRNA from 1 species
UACGAAGGGGGCUAGCGUUGCUCGGAAUCACUGGGCGUAAAGCGCGCGCAGGCGGCAUGGCAAGUAAGGUGUGAAAUCUCCCUGCCUAACGGGGAGGGUGCAUUUUAGACUGCCAAGCUAGAGGACGGUAGAGGGGGGUAGAAUUGCUGGUGUAGCGGUGAAAUGCGUAGAGAUCAGCAGGAAUACCCGUGGCGAAGGCGGUUCUCUGGGCAUGUCCUGACGCUGAGGAGCGAAAGUGUGGGGAGCGAACAGG